UUGAAUUGGGAGGGUUAAAAUGAGUUUUCAUGCAUGAAGAUAUGAUAAUGAUUUCAAUAUCAACAUUUAUGUAUAACAAUGAUCAUUGAACACACGAUAUAAAAGGUUCAGUCUCCCACUCAAGUUUAACAGUACAAUAGUUGAGAUCAUCACUCAAAAUUAAUAGUGUUCAAAGCAGGACGUCAAGAUGCAGCUUUUCAGCGCAGCCUUGUUUACCCUCCUCGUAGCGGGAGUAAUUGGAAUGCCCUGUGAGGAGGUCGCCAUUGACCCGACGUACGGCUCCACACCGAUCAUCCUUCAACCUACGCCUUAUAGUUAUGGUAUCGAUCCGAGAAUAAACGAAGCCGAAUAUUUGGCUGAUGAGCCUCUGUCAGAGGGUUACCCUCUACCUGGUGAAGGGUUGCUUGGUGAAGGAGAUGGCAUUAUAUCAUACGACCCGCAUCUCCCGGAGUAUUGAACUGAACCAGUCUUCGGAGCUCAUCCAAUGGAGAAUUUGUACGCAAAAAUUGUAUUGCUUCAUCUGAGGGUGCUGACUGCUGAGUGACUGAUUAAAGAGUGAAAAAAUUUAUCGACUUGUGACUUCAUCAGGCGAUAUUUUUCAUAUACCUACAUGUAUAUUGGCAAAUUGAGUCAUUUGGUCUUAUCUCAUCCAAUACGUGUUCCUUUCAUGGACCAAGGGUAAUUUCAUACGCAGUUUUAUCAGUAGUUUCUAAUUGAACAUGAAAUUUAUGUAAUUAAAAAAACUUGGAAAUUCUACGGUGAGACCGCUCACUUGGGAACAAAUGAAAAUGAAAAAUAAAGAAAAUAUGAAGAUUA